GUGUACGAGUGGUACAUGCCGGAUUUCGAGCACCGGCCGCGCCCGCCUAGCGGUGAACGCAGUCGUUUUGUUAGCC
rnacentral:sRNA from 1 species